CGAAUGAAGGCUGGCGGCGUGCUUUACACAUGCAAGUCGAGCGAGGCGGGUAGCAAUACCCAGUCGAGCGGCGAACGGGUGAGUAACGCGUGGAUAACCUGCCCAGAGGUGGGGAAUAACCCGGGGAAACUCGGGCUAAUACCGCAUGAUACCUAGCGGUCAAAGAGGGGUCGCAAGAUCUCUUGCCACGUGGAGGGUCCGCGUUCGAUUAGCUAGUUGGUAGGGUAAUGGCCUACCAAGGCGACGAUCGAUAGCCGGCCUGAGAGGGUGAUCGGCCACGACUGGAACUGAGACACGGUCCAGACUCCGUACGGGAGCUAGCGAGGUGGGAAUUUGCG
rnacentral:rRNA from 1 species